GGAGGGGUGUGGAGUUUGUACUUGCUCUAUAUAACACCUGGCUUCAUGCAAGGGAAGCACAUUACCCUUUCUUGUCUUGCUGCAGACAUGCAACCAACAACAAUGUAUUUCCUGAUUCAUUUUGCAUUCAUCUGUUGCCUGCAACUUUCCGAAGGUAGGAUCUGACAUUAAUAUCAGCAAAAAGUAUAUUAAUAGAACAUGUUUUUGAGAUACAAUAUAUAGAAAAUGUUGCAUUUGGGAUUUACUUUUCCCAGUGCAUUUUUUACUAACAGCUCAAUGCAUCAGGGGAGUAUACUCUGCACCAUGUAUUAACCUUAUUGCAAUAUUUAGGUUUUCCCGUUACUAAAGCUGAUGCUUUGAGACAGAGAAUUGACAAAGAAAAAUUGUAUUUUAUGGUAUUACAUUCUUGAGGCAUUUGCGGGCUCAUUUGUGGUGCUGUUGGGCAGAUAAGGGGUUACAGAUUCCAGUGAGAUAUCUUUAUCUUUGGCAGAUAAGAUCAGAGCAGGAUUAACCAUUAGGUAAGCCUAGGCGAAUGUCUAGGGCUCAGGGGUUAGACACGAGGCCAAAAACCAUACAUUUGCUGGGUCCCUUUAACCAUCCCUUUGUGAAUAAUGAAGGAGGGGGGGGAGAGGGGGGAGGGGGCAGGGGCAAAUUAGUGACCUGCCUAAGGUCUUGUUCUUUCUCUGGAUAAGAGGUUAAAAGUCUCAGUUAAAAUAUUUGUCUCUUUGCAGAGAGCAUGUGCCAGUUAAGGAUUCUGUCUUCCUAGCAGAAAGAAUGUUAAAGGAUCACUAUAGGAUCAGGAACACAAACAUGUAUUCCUGACCCUAUAGUGCUAAACCCACCAUUUAUUUAGGAGGCUUGCCCCCCCCUCCCCUUAGCCCUCCUAUAAAGGUAUAAAACUCACCUUAUUUCGAGCGAUGUGCGGGUCUGCCGACGCUGGCUCUGCCCCCGUUGUGGCAUAAUUGAAAUGGCCAAUUUUUAGGCUAAAAUCGGCACAGGGGCAGGGCCAAAUGCCGUUUUGGCCAAUCAGGACCUCCUCAUAGAGAUGCAUUUCUCUGAAAAGGUAGUGUUUACAUGAAAAUGCCUGAAGGAAGCUAUUAUACUGACCAGAACAACUACAUUAAGCUGUAGUUGUUCUGGUGACUAUAGUGUCCUUUUAAAUGUAAUUUUUGGGAUUAACUUGAAGUUUAACAGCUAAUGGGAUUGUCUAUAGCAGAGACCGGUUAAACUGUUUUGCAUUUCUCUUAAAUUAUUAUUUUAAAACAUUGGCUACCAAAAUUGCUUGCAAAUAUAUAAAUAUUUAUUUAAUGUUAAUAACUACCCAAGUCUGUGCUAAUUCACUUUAAAAAUCUCAGCUUUAAAAAGUAAAGUUACAAAUCACAGUCACAGUGAUUUAAAGGGAUGCUAAUAUAUUACCAUGUUGAAAAGAACAUUACAGUGCCAGAUGCACCAUUGUACGUCAUGUUAUAAUAAUACAGGGUACAGCAGUGUAUCUCAUGAUGUAAGUUUAGGGAGGCUUAGGGUUAGCAUGGUGGCUUAGAGUUAGAAAAUGUUUAGAAUUAGGGAGCAUAAGGUUGUUGAAAUUUAUAGUCAAGGGCUAGGGGAUUCCUGCAUUCAAGUUUUUAACCGCACAUUUAAUGAAAUGUAUUUGUUAUAGACAGAAUCUCUUUGUUACUCCCCCUAAUAUACUCCCAUUUCCAUUAGCCAUUUGUGCAACAUAGCCCAGGCAUGCUAUUUUCAUUCAAAUAUAAUUUCUAGACUUGUGCAAAGUGCAUAUGCCAGUUCAACUCGACAGAAUUUCGGUUCCCAAAAUAAAAAUUAAUUGAGAUAUGAAUCAGAUAAACCAAAAGGCCAUGAAAAUGUGCCAAAAUAUAUACAUAGUAUAAUAUUAUGUUUAUAUUUUGCAUUACAUUGACUGGAGAAUAGAGGAGCGGUACAAAAAAAUAAAUCUAUAUUUAAGGAAUGUAAUUUUUUUAUUCCUUCUCCUUUUUUCUCUUUAUUGGUUACUUCUCACUUGAUUUGUGAAUAAAAUGAACAAUGUCUACUAACAUGAUUGUUCACUAAGCGAUCAAUCAUCAUUUUCGGGCAUCAACCAUCUAAUUUUUUGGUGCCACGUGCUAAAUUCAGAAUCACAAAUGAAAACGAACAUGUGCAUAGCUCAUUUAGUUCAUGAUUGAGGAGACAUUUUCUCUUGGAGUUCAGGAAUUCAACUGAUCACCCGAGCAGCCCAAAUUCGGGUGACUUGCAGUUCAGACCGAGACAAAUCUCCAAGUCUAAUAAUUUACACGUACCCUUUACCAUUGUAAUUUACCUCCAGAUUAAAAAAAUGUGGCACCUCGUACAAUAAACAGUAGAGAACCAAAGGUGUCACAUGAAUACAAAGUGACCACAAGGUUACAUUUCCAGUCCACUCCACUAAGAUCCUAAAGGAGAAAAUAAUAAUAAAUAACAAAAGAACUUUAUUAGCAACUCUAAAAAGUAUUAGGACAAAUUAAACAGUGUAGCCUAAUAGGAGGGGGAACAGCCCUGAGUGAGAUGCUCAAUAAUAGAUAGUCAAUAAUAAGCAUACCACACUAGUUCCAAACGGGUAUGGAUUGGCAGUAUGAGAACUAACUGAAGAGGUAGCAAUCUCCCCCUUUAUGUGUUUAAGCCCUCAUGGAAGUAUAUACAGCACUUGUUAUGACAGAGCCUAGUGUGAUCUUCCAGAAGCAAAAACUAAAACGUAAAAGGAAUAGUGAGAGGUAUGCUAAAUGGUAAGAAUGUUCGCGUAUCCUACACUUAAAGGGGUGGAAAGUUUUGCCCACAUAUUUUAGUCCGCAAGAACAUGUGAGCAAAUACACCACAACUAUUGAGCGACAAUUAAAGAAAAAACGAGAUUGAAAAGUUUCCGUAUUACUGCUGUUGGAGAAUAUCUUUGAUUGUCUGUUAAUGAAAGGACACGCACUACAAUGUCGACACUUAAAGGGACACUAUAGUCACCUGAACAACUUUAGCUUAAUGACGCAGUUUUGGUGUAUAGAACAUGCCCCUGCAGCCUCACUGCUUAAUCCUCUGCCAUUUAGGAGUUAAAUCCCUUUGUUUAUGAACCCUAGUCACACCUCCCUGCAUGUGACUUGCACAGCCUUCCAUAAACACUUCCUGUAAAGAGAGCCCUAUUUAGGCUUUCUUUAUUGCAAGUUCUGUUUAAUUAAGAUUUUCUUAUCCCCUGCUAUAUUAAUAGCUUGCUAGACCCUGCAAGAGCCUCCUGUAUGUGAUUAAAGUUCAAUUUAGAGAUUGAGAUACAAUUAUUUAAGGUAAAUUACAUCUGUUUGAAAGUGAAACCAGUUUUUUUUUCAUGCAGGCUCUGUCAAUCAUAGCCAGGGGAGGUGUGGCUAGGGCUGCAUAAACAGAAACAAAGUGAUUUAACUCCUAAAUGACAGUGAAUUGAGCAGUGAAAUUGCAGGGGAAUGAUCUAUACACUAAAACUGCUUUAUUUAGAUAAAGUAAUUUAGGUGACUAUAGUGUUCCUUUAAAAGUACCCAUUUGUAGAUAUUUCUUAAAAUAACCAAUUGAGGUGGCAUUUGAAAAGUGGCUUGGUGAUAAAAGAUCCCUCAAAUUUCUACCUCUACGUGCCGUGAUAGAAGGUGAUGGUGUAAGUACAUUUUUGAGGUGUUUAUCCGAGCUAAGCGUGGGCCAAAAUUUGUGUAAGAUAUUUUUACGUUAUCCCAGCCGGCAUCAAAAGUGCCAAUGCAUCUUAUGGGGCUAGCUUCCACCUUCCGGGUAUCUUCACUAAUUGUGGCACCUCGUACACCGACCACAGAGGCCAGAAAUGCUCCAAUUUGUACACAAGUGUAUUUAAAAAAAUUAUGGACUCAAAACUCUUGAUGGUGUAGAAAAGGCUGCGAUUUGCAUUCUUCACCACAGCAUUAAAAAUUAUACAUUAUUGCGCACAUAAAAUACACUCCUUGUUUUCUUGUAAUUAAUUCUUAUUAAGGAUUACCCCUGUCGUUAACACUAAAAGAGUCAGCCACCCCUAAUACUCCAUCUAUUCAUUACUGCCCAAUAUCUUUAUAAAUCAGAUUGGUCCUAUUGUAGUUAUUGGUUUUAUUACAUUAGAAUUGCCUCUGGAAUGUUAUUACCGUAUAUACUCGAGUAUAAGCCGAGUUUUUUGGCACAUUUUUUGUGCUGAAAAACCCCAACUCGGCUUAUACUCGAGUCAGUCUGUAUUAUGGCAAUUUACAUUGCCAUAAUACAGACUGGGGGCUGGCAGAGCUGUUACUUACCUCUCCUGCAGCUCCUGUCAGCUCCCUCCUCCUCCACGCCGGUCCGGUCAGCACCUCGGUCAGCUCCCAGUGUAAGUCUCGCGAGAGCCACGGGGUCAUAGUGCGGCUCUCGCGAGACUUAUAGUGUGAGCUGACAGAAGAGCUGCACGGACCGGCGCGGAGGAGGAGAGAGCUGACAGGAGCUGCAGGAGAGUUAAGUAACAGCUCUGCCAGCCCCCCUCCUCCCCCCACUGAACUGCCAAUGCCACUGGACCACCAGGGAAGGAGAGCCCCCCUCCCUGCCAUGUAUCAAGCAGGGAGGGGGGACAAUAAAUAAAUAAAUUAAUAAUACAUAAAUAUAAAUAAUAAUAAUAAAAAAAUAAUAUAACAAAAAAAAUCAAAUAAUAUUAAUUAAUAAUAUAUAAAUAUAAAUAAUAAUAAAAAAAUAAUAAAAAAAAUUAUAUAAUCCAAAAAAUUAAAAUAAUAAAUAAUAAUAUUAAAUUAAUUUUUUUUUAUAUAAAAAUGCCCACCCCCCACCAAGGCUCUGCAACACAAACACACACUGCAUCACACACACUGCACUCAUACACACACACUGCAUUCAUACACACACACUGCACUCAUACACACACACUGCAUUCAUAAACACACACUGCACUCAUACACACACACUGCAUUCAUACACACACACUGCACUCAUAUACACACUGCAUUUAUACACACACUGCGCACUCAUACACACACACUGUAAAUAAAUAUUCAAUUAAUAUAAUUUUUUUAGGAUCUAAUUUUAUUUAGAAAUUUACCAGUAGCUGCUGCAUUUCCCACCCUAGUCUUAUACUCGAGUCAAUAAGUUUUCCCAGUUUUUUGGGGUAAAAUUAGGGGCCUCGGCUUAUAUUCGGGUCGGCUUAUACUCGAGUAUAUACGGUAUGUUGUUAUAAUUGAACGACAGAUGUAAUUGUACUGAUGCUACUCAUUUAUGGUUCCCAUAUCGACUGUAACUCUGAACCUUUGUGUACCUUCUGUAGUUUUUGUUCCAUUUGUACAAAAAAACAACAACAAUAAAAAAGGAGUCAACCAGCUCACGUUAGUUAAUUUUUUACGUACUCACUACUGCCAGGUCUAGACAGUGUCACCAUUUUCAAGCAGUUUGGAAAAAGCUAGGGCUCAAGAUGUAGUUGUCUACUCUGUCCUAGAAAUGCAAAACAAAAUGGAGUAAUAGGCAUUAACAGUCCUAAAUUCAUACACUCAUUGCCACAACAAGAAUGCAUGAGAGAUAUAAUAAUAAUGGAUCGCUGAGUAAUGGAAGUAGACAUACCAUUUAUGAUACCUGUGAUUAUCCCUAUCACUUUGUGGUACGAUGAGGAGAUCUAUUCGUGGCCUAUAUAUUCCAACUCAUAACUUAGCACUAAAUAAUUAAAAAAUCGUUUUGUGUUCAAUAAACGUGGGGUUUAUGGGAAUUUGCAUAUCUUUUAAGAAUGUAACUGACAUACAACUCUGUCACAAAUAAAUAAGGAACUCUGGAACUCUGCUUUUAAAGGGACACUACAGCUAUCAGAACAACUACAGCCAAAUGUAGUUGUUAUGGUGUCUUCAUCCUGUCUCUACAGGCUUUUCAAUGUAAACACUGUCUUUUCAGAAAAAAGGCAGUGUUUACAUUACUGUCUAGGGACACCUUCCUAGUCCACUGCUGCACACUGUGCAGCACCAAUGUUCAGCGUCUCCACACGGCCACUAGAGGUGUCCCAGGUGCCGAAUGUUCUGUGUAGAGAUGCAUUGAGUCAAUGCAUCUCUAUGAGGAGAUGCUGAUUGGCGCAGUGCGGUGGUUUGCCACGCUUUACCAGACAUACAAAGAUAAAUACACACUCACAGAUAUACUUUUUAGGCUACAUACAUUCCCAAACAAAUAAAUGCAGAGACAUACGUUUACAGACACACACAAAUACACACAUACAGACACAGAUACACACAUAGAUAUACACUGCUAGACACACACACAUUCUGAAACAUACACUAACACACAUUGCCACACAACAGUCCUAGAUCCUGCUGGACCUUCCUGAUUAUGGUAUCCUGUCCCACCAUCCCAACAAGAGCUAUGCAAGAGCAUCAUAAGUGCUCUCACUUAAUGCUAAAAGAUUGGAGACUACGACCAUGCAGGGAGCCUUUAGCAGCACUGUUUGCCCUGAGUGGGGCUGGCCAGGAAUGCUAUCAGUGAGCCACUCAUACGAGUGCUGUCACUGGCACACUACCAUAGGACAGUCCACCUUUUGUCAUGAUUUAAAACUUCCCAAUUUUACAAAUAUGCAGAUGCACAUUGUCACAUACAGAUGCACACACACAUAUACAAACACUGCUACACAUACAUACACAAAAACUGGUACACACAGAUACACACACAAUGCUACAAACCCCUUUAGAAUUAAUUGUAAAGGUGCAGAAUAUUUUAGUCACCCUACCAUUUCUAUACAUUUUGGGUGGAGGAGGGUGGCUUCCCUGGGGUUCAGUAGGGGUGGUUUGGGGUUGAUGCAGGUCGCUUGGCUCAGUGUGUGUCCCGGGAGGAAGUGAUCGGCUAUUACUUCCCUUGGUCCCAGCAGUGCUGUGUGGAGGCCAUGUUGUUCCUGUCUGGGGAACCUAGCUCAUUAACAUGCUCCUGUUUGGGAUGAUAUUUAUAUAUUUGCAACCACACCACAAGUGGACCCCUGUGCUUGAUCAUAAGAUAAACUUUUAUGCCCCGAUAGCAGCCCUGAAUCAGCAAUGAGAGGGUUCAAUUAAAUGUAUAGAUCAGUGGUUCCCAAACUUUUUAAGUUCAAGGCAUCCCUUAAUAUUUCAAUAUUUUGCCCAAAGUUAAAAUUAUUUCAUAGGUUGUAUAUAUGUACAGCGCAGUGGCAUAUACUGGGCUUUUGUUUGGCAGAAAUGGACGCCAUUCAAGCGCAGAUCCAGAACCUAAUCUCGGGAGGGCCACUGGUAGAUUAUUUAAAGAAACAACCCAGGCACAAUAACCACUACAGCACUUUUUAGUGGUUAUGAUGCCAGCACUGCCGUAGUGUCCUCCCAGAGUAAGUUUAAGAACAGUUUGACGAUGUACCUGGGAUCUCCCGAAAUAGGGGCUGUAGUAAGGGGUAGGGGCAGUAGUGUGUCUGAGGGGUACAAUAUGUGUGUGUGUUUGUGUGUGUGUGUGUGAGAGUGGUGGAGUGUGUGUGUGUCUGUAUAUGUGUGAGGCAGUGUGCAUCUGUAUGUGACAAUGUGCAUCUACAUAUUUGUAAAAUUGGGAGUGCAGUGUGCGUGUGUGUAGCAGUGUAAGUGUGUGUGCGGGUGUGCGUGCAUGCGUGCGUGGGUUGCAGUGAGUGUACAGGGGUGCAUUGUGUUUGUGAAGGAUGUAGUGUGUGUGAGGGGUGCAGUGUGUGUGCAUGUGGGGCAGUGUGUGUGUGAGGGGAAAGUGUGUGUGGGGGGGCAGGUUGUAUGAGGAGUACAGUGUGUGUGAGGGGUACAGUGUGUGUGGGGCAGAUUGUAUGAGGGGUACAGUGUGGGGCGGGGGCAGUGUGUGUGUGAGGGCAGUGUAUAAGGGGUAAAGUGUGUGUGAGGGGUUCUGUUUGUGUGUCUGCAAAAUUUAGGCAGAAAUACGAGACGAGUCAUCAUCAUAAUCUGACUAUUGUGGCCUGAAUUUUGGAAGCAUUCACACCAUUUUAGACUGGCAUGACUUCUUACCUUGGGAACAGCUUCCUGCCUCCAUGCCUUGUAGUGCUGGGUUACCUCAUUGAUCACCAUCUGAAAAAAAAUUAUUAUAAACUAACAAGCAUAUAUACAAGACACUACAUAAGAGAGAAUACAUAUAAGAUUUUAAAAAAGUACUAUUUUGUAGGAGGUCUAUAUGGUCCUACUCACCUUUUCCAGAGCUAUAAGACAAGCUCUAGUGUGGAUGGCAUACAGUGGUACAAUCCCCACUUAUAAGUUAUGUGAAGUUUUGUAGUAGAUGUAUAUCAUGUUGUUAUAAAGACCAUGUGAAAUAUAAAAGAAACAAUAAUAGUGCUUAUUGUAUAAAAGCGAAAGGUGAAUUAAUAAAAUACCAAGUGGUUACUCACAUUUUAUUGAGCAGGGAGACUGCUCAAUGGAUAAAGCUUGGAUAAAAACUCUGGUGCCAGGUAAAAAUAAAGGUAAAAUAAAUAAAAGAGUAAAAUGGCUGACUCACAAGUUGAAAGUGGCCAAAAUACUUCAAAGUGGUAUUUUAAUUGCUAUAUUUUAUUAAAUGUAUUUUGGCCACUUUCAACUUGUGAGUCAGCCAUUUUACUCUUUUAUUUAUUUUUACCUUUAUUUUUAUCUGGCACCAGAGUUUUUAUUGUUCCAGUGAGAAUUUUACUCCAAAUAAUCAUUGGUGGGGACUAUACCACUCAAGCUUUAUCCAUUGAGCAGUCUGCCUGCUCAAUAAAAUGUGAGUAACCACUUGGUAUUUUAUUAUUUCACCUUAUACAUUAAGCCCUAUUAUUGUUUCUUUUAUAUUUCAUAUGGUCCUUAUACCAACAAUAUCCAUCUACUACAAAACUUCCCAUAUCCCAUAAGUGGGAAUUGUACCACUAUAUGCCAUCCACACUAGAGCUAGUCUUAUAGCUCUGGAAAACGUGAGUAGGACCAUAUAGAUCUCUUACAAAAUAGUACUUACUACUUGCUGGGAUAUACUGCACCAUUAUUUGCUGUCCUUUUAUUUUUUUCAUACGGAUCUCAUACUGAGGAAUACUUCCCCUGACUAGAUUGUGAUUGACUUCUUAUACAAUAGUAAAAAUGUAGAUGUCCAUAAUCCAGAUUAUAUCUAACAGGGCUAGAAAAGGGCAAACAAGUGACAUGUGAAAAAUAAAUCCAACACCACUUUAUCCUGCAACUGGAAGUCUCCAUCUUAGAUCCCUGUCAAUCAUUGUUAUAAGCUCUGGCCUUUGCACCUGUCAGUCAACAUAGAGAAAGCAUACAGUGCAGGGGGAAAUGAAACAAUGUUUUUGUGUCUCCUGCUUACUUGCAAUGUUUGCCCUGGCUUUGCCUUGACUAAACUGGAUUGUGGCAUAAUUUGCUAAAUAUUUCAUAUGCAUUUAAAGGGACUCUCCAGUGCCAGGAAAACAAUCCGUUUUCUUGGCACUGCAGGUCCUCUCUCCCUCCCACCACCCAUCCCCGGUUGCUGAAGGUGUGAAAAGCCCUUCAGUGACUUAUGUGAGACCCCAAGCCGAUGUCCCUCGGCGGUGGUUUCCGGUUCGCCGCCGCUCCUCCCCUUCAUCACGUCAGCCGGCGGGGGAGACUGAUCCCACCUGCCAGCUGAGGAGACAUAAUGCAUUAGAGCUCUCCAUAGGAAAGCAUUGAAAACCUGUGCUAUGAAGCAGGAAGUGCCCUCUAGUGGCUGUCUAAUAGACAGCCACUAGAGGAGGAGUUAACCCUGCAAGGUAAUUAUUGCAGUUUAUGAAAACUGCAAUAAUUACAGUUGCUGGGUUAAGGGUAGUGGGAGUUGGCACCCAGACCACUCCAAUGAGCAGAAGUGGUCUGGAUGCCUGGAGUGUCCCUCUAAGAGAAAAUCAAACCAAGAAAAGGUUAAUGCUAUGUUUUUAACGUCAUUGAUUACUUUCAGUGCUUUAGUCUAUUGUGAAAUUUUCAGAGUAGUCCCAGUUUCCCUUUAAGAGUACAGAAGGUUUAUAAAAUGCACAAUGAUAAAGUGAAGGUUUGCCGACUUUGUUCCCUGGUUGAUAUUCUCUUUAGAAAUAAAGUAUCAGCCUACAAAGCUGUGACAUGUUUAUUAUCCUAUUAUUAAUGGCUGUGAAGUAGAAGGUACAUGUAAAGCUGUUAUUUAUCUAAUCAUUUCCUGCUUGGCAAAUAAUAACACAGUAGCUGCUGGCAGCAAAGAGUGUGACUAUUAAACCAAUGUUGCACUGAGGGAGCGCCCACUGGGCUACCUGCCUGCAAGGGGAAGAGUAUAACGUCUGCACACUGACAACAGAAGUAAGUUGUGCACAGAAUUGACAUUAGUUAGCCUUGAACAGAGGUCUGGGAUGCCAAAGUCAUGUGUGCAGGGCGUGCAACUUUACAACAUCACACAAUUAAAAAUAUCUCAUGCUGACUCCUACCACCAUGACCACUUCAAAUCAGUGAAGUGGUUAUGAUGGUUGGAAUAACCCUUUUAUUUCCCUAUUUAGUAGAUAUCACUGUGAUGAUGCAUAUUAUAUAUGCUUUUCUGGUGAUAUCAUUGCUGUUGUUUCACUAAGCCACAAUUUUGGAAUAAAAAUGAACAUGCUAAUUAAAUUAGGUUCCGUUCAAUUGAGUGAAUUCCAUUGCAUGCUUCUGCUACACAGGGGCUUCGCCUGGAGAAAAUAGCUAUACAUGAGUUGGGAGAGCAUUACCCAUGAGCUAUGAAACCAAUUUCAGUGGCCCAUUGGCAGGGUCACCUACCAGAGUUGAGUUAUCCAUAAAUUAGUCCAAGUUGGGUGUACUGUUUUUAAUGAGUGUACAAAUGUGGUAAUUAUUCUUUUUAAUCUUAAAAUCGUUCUGUUCUAGUUUAGCUAAUGUAUCUGUAUCAUUUAAUGAGCACACGGUUAUUUUCAUAUUCAGCAUUUUGCUUUGUAAUUCUAUUUUCUAUUCUAAUUUCUAUUUUGAAUUCUUUGCUAUUCCUGAAUAUAGAGAUGGUAUUCUUUCAUGAUAAGAAUUGUGAUAAUGUGUAUUUUCUUCUUUGUCUUGUAGCUUUCAUGAGUUACCAAAUACAGUGUUGCACUGAAUAUCGAGACCACAUUCCCAAAAAGGUUUUAAAGAGAGUAGAAACCUACAAAAUCCAGGCUGCCAAUGGAAUAUGUGAUCUGCGUGCUAUAGUGUAAGUAAGAUUUUUUUGUAAAGAGUUCAAUAACCCCACGGAUUAUUUCUCCUGUAGAAUGCCAUCAGUCACCGUCAUCAUAUAAAGAUUUAUAUUCUAUAAAAAUAUAACAGACCAUCUUUGCUAUCAAAAUCCAGUUAUUUAAAAAAAAAAAACAUUUUCGUCCUCUUCUUUUUUUUUUUGUUUGCAUAAAUACCAUGUAUGUAUUGUAUGUAAAAUAAAAAACACUUUAUAAAAUAAAGGUGUAGCUACUAAAUAGUGAUUUUAAAUAUAUAUAUAUAUAUAUAUAUAUAUUGUCUCUGGGAAUCAGAACAAUAGGUUCUUUGUACUCAUCAUAAAGUAAUUGUUUUCUUGUUUUACGUUAAGAGGGAAUUUAUUUGAAAUCCCCUUUACUAUAUUUCCUUGUUCUGUUUGGUUUUUUGGACAGGUUGCGCACAAAGCGCAGGACAUUAUGCAUGAAUCCCACAAAUAAGCAAGUCUUGAAAUGGAUCAAGAAGAAAAAGAAAAGUGCGCAAUGCGAGACGACGUCAACAUGCCGUGGCAAAAAUAAGAAAAACAAAAAAAGAAAGCGAAAAAGAACAACGUUUUUAAAAGUUUAAAGGGCUCAUCGUGCACUAAUGACUACUGACAAUAGGAUCGACUCUUGCUACCACUUAUGAAGUGGACAUAAUCAACUUACUUAAAACCUUUUUAGCUAUCACAAAGAAAUGUAGGGGCAGGUAACUGGAUUGAGGAUAUACCGAAGGUUUACUAGAAUAAACUGCAUUUUUAAGGCAUAGCGUUUUAAACAUACAUUUAUCCCUGUGAAUCUAUUAGCAAAAAACUGGACAGUGAUAUCGCACCUUCGGACUGCAAAAUGUUUUGUAAAUUACAUUUCCCAUGAUGUUCAGUGGGCAAGCUUUGCAAUUAAAUUGUGAAAAAUGACAUGCAUAUUUUAGAGAAUUUUGCCUACAAGUAUAAACAAGACACUAACAGGUGGUUUUAAGACACUGUCACGGAUAUUCAAGCAAGAUAAAAAAAAAAAAAAAAUAUUCAAAGCUUGUUUUUUGGAAUCGAUUUUCAAUCCUCUCAAGAGUCAGUAAAGAUAAGGUUGAAUGUGAGCAAGUCAGAGGAAAAAGCUGUGUAAGCACAAGCCUAAACAACUACAACUAAAACAAGAUAUAGUAAACUAAUAAAGUGAAAUAAUCGCAUAAGUCAGAUUCAGUUAAAGCAUUAAAAGGGCAGACAAUUUGCAAGAAAUACGUGGUUGCCGAAAAUUUUGCUUGAUGUGUGAUUUCUACAUGUGACACAUGAGAAUGUGGUUAAACUUGAAAAAGUAAAUGUAACAAGACAAAAAAAAUGGGAAGAAAAAUGACACGUGGUAGAAAACUGUAUAGAACAGUGUAGGCAACCUUUUAGAAACAAGUCUCUAAAAUCCCUUGGCUGGUCCUAUUUUAUUUAAAUUAAAGUGUGUAUGUUGCCUUAUUCUGCUUGUGUUAUGUAACAGUGCUGCAGUUGCUUUGUAGGAUUCUAUUUGGGCAAAUGUGAGCGGUGUUAUAUGUGUAAGCAGUUAGUGGUAGUAUGUGUUACAUAUAUAUGUGGGCUGUGUAUCAUGUGUGAAUGUGGGCUGUCUAUGUAGGACUGCUCGUGGAAUUGUGAGAGUGUCAGAUUGUAUUGUGCGUGUGUGUGGUGUUAUGUAUAUGUUUGGGUACUGCGCGUGUGAGGCUGCUUGUGGUGAUGUGUGCAAGUAUGUGUGUUGUCAGUGGUAUUUUGUUCAUGGUGGCUGUGUGUGUGCUGUUUGUAGUAUUUGCCUGCUGGGGACUCUUCUUCUGCGGCUGUGUCUGAAUGUCUUGCUAUGUAGGUGGUUUCCUUGGGUUCCAGUGGGGAACAGGAUGGCCAGGUACAGGUCAAGUGCAGGGGCUACAUUAACAGCUGAGGGCUGCUCUUAUCCAGUGCGGAUUCCCCUUUACAAGCAGUGGGAGGAAGUGAUUUGAGAUCAAUUCCUCCAUGUGCUGCAAUGACUAAAUUGAGGACUGCACCACAUCAACUGCUGCAAUCACUGCUUGGCCAAACAUUCAGCUGGAACCAGCAGAUAUCUGAAGAAAUCUCACUGGGGCCACUUAUAGGCCAGCCCCAGGCGAGAUCCUAAGAUAUCCUCAUCCUGUUUGGAUCUGGCAGCCUUGCUGGCCAUUUAAAGCUAAAUUGACCACGUGCAUGGCACACGUGCCAUAGGUUGCUGAACCCUGGUAUAAUGCAUUCUCACAAGGUCUUAAUAAACCUCUGAGCACUUCUAUAAUUACCAGGAAAUAGUCUUCAUGUGUGCAACUCAACUAAGUUUCUCUCUCUCUCUCUCUCUCUCUCUCUCUCAAUGUUAUAUAUGUUUUACUUUCCAUAGUGCAUAUUUCUCUGAACAAGUCAACAAUGAUAAAUAACCAAUUUAGUUUUUAUCCCCCAUCAUAGAUACGCCAUCAUAUCUAGCAUAUGAAACACAAUGGAGACUGUGCAUAAGAUGCAAUUGUGUGGGUGAAGAGCUAGUGUAUGGAGCAAUUUGCGGUGCCGUUCUGUUGGUUUCCAUAGUGAUUUUUUUACUUUUAGAUUUUUUUCCUUCAAAAUUGUUCUUUAUGCAUGUAUAUAUUUAAAAAGUUUUACAUCUUGUUUAUUUUUAUAUACAUUUUUACAAUGUUUAGUGUAUUUAAAAUUGUUUUUAAUCCAAAUAAUAAAAUGUUUA
rnacentral:lncRNA from 1 species